AAAUCCCUUUUAGUUUUGCGAUUAGGCUGCCAGGCUUUGUAAAGGGCUUAAAAACAAAGUCAUGCUCAGUCUUUUGUAGGAGAGAUCCAGAUGUUAUGUAGAUUUCUGUUUGCAUGUUCGUUCUGCGCGGGUCCGGCGGUGAGCGCAGUAUUUACGUGUGUGUGUUGCUGGACUUUACCGUUUAUCGACGUUGCGCUUGUGGAAUGUAUGCUGGAGUAUUAGCUCGGUAAUGCCUUCUAAUGGUAGUGCUAAUUACAGUGGGGUUAUUUAGCAAAUUAAGUGAGAUGAUGCACCCCCCCCACCCUCGAGUACCAAAUGAACUUUUCCGAGCACAUAGGCACACACAACGCGCGUUAAUUUUGGUGCGUUUCUCUCGCCCAAUCACUUCGCUGAAGCUACACCAUGCCUUACCUCAGAGCAGUCAAUUACCAAAGCUACCCAGGAUCAUCAAUCAUGGGGGAUGCUUGAAGUUUAGGGGAGGAGCGAUGGUCAAACUAUCGAUUGCUGCAGUUUUGUCCUCCCCAACCCCCCACCCUCGUUCACGGUCCCCUGCACAUAAAAUCUAAAACAGACUAUCCCGUUAAUAGUGGAAUUUAUCAAUGAUUAUGUGCCCAGUUGUGAAUGUGGCCUCAUACAUAGACGGCUUUUGAAAAUACACGGCAGAAAAUGUAUUAUUCCGUUAGAUUUUGGUUUGGUUUGCUUUUCGUGGUGAUGAUGUUGAUUUUCAGAGGUUUGGUUUUUUUUGGUUUUUUUUUUUUUUUUUUUUUAAACUUUAAGAAAAUGACUCAAGGGCUAGUUAUAGAUAUUUGGCCUGAUUUUAAUAGGCGAAGGGAAUGAGCUCCGGAGGUCAAUAAACCCCUCCAAAAUGAUGAAUGAUUGAGUACCUGUGAUGAUGAUAGUGAUUACCGGAGCAAUUAAACAGUUUGAUUAAAUGAGCCAUCAUAACAAUGAUGUCUGCGGGAAAUCAGCCCUCACGUAUAAAGAAAGAUAGUGUGGAGAGCUGACAAACGCCAGUGGGCAUUCCUGCAUGUUCCGCUAGCGCCGAGCCCUGCAGAGCAGGGCUGUAUUUACAAAUAUGAGGGAAAUACGGAGAAAAGUCCCUCUCCUACUUUUAGCCAGAGUUGCACCCUCCUUAAAACCCGCCAGAAGCCGGAGAGCAGACACGGGUUUUUUUUUUCCUAGAGGAUCUCCUCCAAGAUUAAAGCUAGUCCUAAGAGCAACCGAAUUGCUGUGACUGACUUUCACGGGACUGUAAAGAGAGCUGCCUAUAAAACUCCAGAAGAGGAGCGCUCUCAUUUUUACACUGGAGUUCUCGGUCCGGAGAGAACAAUAUACUCCUACCUCUUUUGAAAUGAUCCGGAGACUCUCACAACACACAGGCAAUCACUCGAAGCACGAAUUUCCUCUUUUUUUUUUCCCCCCCAAGAACUGCUCGGCCCAUUGUUUGAAGUGGGUUUCAGUGCAUAGCCCAAAGAGAAAAGGAAAAAAAAAUCUUGAGAGCCCGGUUUGGUAUUGCACAGAGAGAGCUGACAAAAUAUUACAGCCUGUUUCCUAGAAGUACAUGGUGAGAGCCGGCAGUGCGUUCCCGAAAAGAGGUUGCUUUUUAUUUCCACCACCCUCCCCCCCAGGAUUGUGAUCGUCUUUGUAUGUCUUUCUUUUGAUCCCACAAAGAGAAUGCAAUACACAUAUAUGUGUUUGCUCUCCAUACAAGAAAUGCCAUACAAUGGAAUAUGCGGCCGGUUAGUCCUCAUAAUGCUUAGUUUUGCUGUAAUUAAUUGAAAACAGUUAUUAGGUCGUCAUUGGCAAUAGCGUAAAUAAUUGCGCAGAUUUUUACUUAAAAUUGACCGGUCAUAGAGUGAUAGAUCGAUUCGAGGUAUAAAAAUGAUGUAUCAAAACAUCAAUGUCGAUUAUUUGAAAUAUUGUAGUCGAAUCUUUUUAUUGCUUCAUCGGUUAAGUGUCUGAAAGUGCUGUGUUCCAACAUAUAUUUAUGUUGUCAAUACUGUCAAAACUGUCAGUUUUAUUACAGUGGAUUUGUAAUACAUUUCGGAUUUGCUCAUUUACAUAAAAUGUCCACCUCAGAUACCCCUCCUUUUCUCCAUCUCUGGAAAUCUGUGUCAGUUUAAUGAAAGGAUUCAAGACUCAUACCUGAAGAGGAAAAAAAAAAAAAAAAAAAAAAAAAAGGAAAGGGAAAAAAAAAAAGAAGAAGAAAGAAAGAGGUAUUGCUCCAUUAUGUCCAAUUUUAACAUCCGUUUGGAAAGCUUGGGCUAUUUCUGACUCUCCAAAAGAGGGAAUUCCUCCCCCCUCCCCCGGCCCCGCUUAUUUCCCCAGUAGAAUUUAAACACUUUUCUACUCUCACACCUAGAUUAAACCCUCCAGGAGAAUUGGGAAAUUGUACAGGGUUACAGUGAUGAGCCAAAGCACACCUGUGAAUGCUGCAACCUUCCCAAAGAGAGCAGCAACCCCCCGAACCACGCACACACGCGCAGAGGUUUGAAUCCUGCUAGAGAGAAGGAGACAAAAGGAGCAAUAAAUACGUGUGUGUGAUCCUUUCCUAACGCUUUGGAGCCCAAAGGAAAAAAGCAAACUGUAAGCAGUAUUGGGCAUUUGAUAUUCCUCCCCCCCCCCACCCCAUUUUAUCAGGGUCUGAUUGAGGUGAUUAUUCCCUUUAACUGUAAGCAGUGAUUUUUUAUCACCAUGAUCUCGGGCAACUCUCUAAUUUUCUCCAAGAGCCCAGCUGAGGGAUGGAGAAACUCAGGAAUAAAUAAAUAAGUCCAUUUGCACAAUAAACUUUCUUCGAUAGAACAAACAGCGAAUUUAGGCGAGUAACUUUAUUCGCCAGCCCUUUCCGAGGAUGAGGGUGUUUUAAAGGUGUUGGUGAGAUGGACCUGAGGGGUGUAUGGGUUGGUUUAUUUCCCCUUCCCUCAAACCGCCCCCCUCCCUUCCCACCCCCCCGUCCAGGGAUAUCUAUGUUAAAAUAGAUGCUGAAGAGAUUUCUGAGUUCACGGGAAAGAAGGAAGGUUAGUUAAGGGAAUGGCAGCGAGCCUGGCAGGUAUUUUAAUGACUGUCCCUUCCUUUGAACACUUCGAAUUUCUCUGCCUCUUGUACAGAAUGUGUUUCCCAAACCAAGUAUGAUUUCUGUUGUAACUCUCGUGUGUGUUUGUGAUCCCUUCUGAGGUAAAUUGAGAAGUACGCUGCGCAAAAGGAGGAAAUCGCCCCUGGGGUGCUUUGUUUACUUUGGUUUGUAAAAUCCUGCUAGGAGAUGGUUUCCUCAGUGUGUGGCAAGUGUUUCUUCAAGAAAUUCAUCAGCCCUUCUACAAUUACUUCGAGCUCCGAGGGAAGAAAGCUGCCAUCACUUUCUCACAUCCCAAGGUGUUGCAUGAGGGAGAGAAGAAAAGGCUGGAGCAUUUAAUUAUAAUGGUGGGGGGUGGGGAGAACGGAGGCUGCAGAAAGCCGUCCCAAGCUUGUACCUGGAAAAGAAAAACCUGCAAGGAUAUAUUUGGGAAGCGUGUGCCAUUUAGACAUGGGGAAAAGUACCCCGUCUUGUGCAGUAAUUAGUCUGAACAAUAAACAUAAUUGGAACAAA